GCCACUGUGGUAUAGUGGUUUGAGUGCUGAACUGCAACUAUGGAGACCAGGGUUUGAUUCCCUGCUCAGCCA